AGAGUUUGAUCAUGGCUCAGAUUGAACGCUGGCGGCAGGCCUAACACAUGCAAGUCGAACGGUAACAGGAAGCAGCUUGCUGCUUUGCUGACGAGUGGCGGACGGGUGAGUAAUGUCUGGGAAACUGCCUGAUGGAGGGGGAUAACUACUGGAAACGGUAGCUAAUACCGCAUAAUGUCGCAAGACCAAAGAGGGGGACCUUCGGGCCUCUUGCCAUCGGAUGUGCCCAGAUGGGAUUAGCUAGUAGGUGGGGUAAAGGCUCACCUAGGCGACGAUCCCUAGCUGGUCUGAGAGGAUGACCAGCCACACUGGAACUGAGACACGGUCCAGACUCCUACGGGAGGCAGCAGUGGGGAAUAUUGCACAAUGGGCGCAAGCCUGAUGCAGCCAUGCCGCGUGUAUGAAGAAGGCCUUCGGGUUGUAAAGUACUUUCAGCGGGGAGGAAGGGAGUAAAGUUAAUACCUUUGCUCAUUGACGUUACCCGCAGAAGAAGCACCGGCUAACUCCGUGCCAGCAGCCGCGGUAAUACGGAGGGUGCAAGCGUUAAUCGGAAUUACUGGGCGUAAAGCGCACGCAGGCGGUUUGUUAAGUCAGAUGUGAAAUCCCCGGGCUCAACCUGGGAACUGCAUCUGAUACUGGCAAGCUUGAGUCUCGUAGAGGGGGGUAGAAUUCCAGGUGUAGCGGUGAAAUGCGUAGAGAUCUGGAGGAAUACCGGUGGCGAAGGCGGCCCCCUGGACGAAGACUGACGCUCAGGUGCGAAAGCGUGGGGAGCAAACAGGAUUAGAUACCCUGGUAGUCCACGCCGUAAACGAUGUCGACUUGGAGGUUGUGCCCUUGAGGCGUGGCUUCCGGAGCUAACGCGUUAAGUCGACCGCCUGGGGAGUACGGCCGCAAGGUUAAAACUCAAAUGAAUUGACGGGGGCCCGCACAAGCGGUGGAGCAUGUGGUUUAAUUCGAUGCAACGCGAAGAACCUUACCUGGUCUUGACAUCCACGGAAGUUUUCAGAGAUGAGAAUGUGCCUUCGGGAACCGUGAGACAGGUGCUGCAUGGCUGUCGUCAGCUCGUGUUGUGAAAUGUUGGGUUAAGUCCCGCAACGAGCGCAACCCUUAUCCUUUGUUGCCAGCGGUCCGGCCGGGAACUCAAAGGAGACUGCCAGUGAUAAACUGGAGGAAGGUGGGGAUGACGUCAAGUCAUCAUGGCCCUUACGACCAGGGCUACACACGUGCUACAAUGGCGCAUACAAAGAGAAGCGACCUCGCGAGAGCAAGCGGACCUCAUAAAGUGCGUCGUAGUCCGGAUUGGAGUCUGCAACUCGACUCCAUGAAGUCGGAAUCGCUAGUAAUCGUGGAUCAGAAUGCCACGGUGAAUACGUUCCCGGGCCUUGUACACACCGCCCGUCACACCAUGGGAGUGGGUUGCAAAAGAAGUAGGUAGCUUAACCUUCGGGAGGGCGCUUACCACUUUGUGAUUCAUGACUGGGGUGAAGUCGUAACAAGGUAACCGUAGGGGAACCUGCGGUUG
rnacentral:rRNA from 1 species